UGCAGAUGCUUCCAUGUGAUAACAUGGGUCCCUUGUCAUAUCACCAUAUUUAAAUGCUAUUUAAUUUAAUGCACUUAUAUACUUGGUAAAAGGCGGAAGGCUCGGCCUUUCUAGCCUGGUGUUUUGUUCCACAUUUGCCCCCUUAGUUUUCGGCUACCGGUGUUAUGUUCCAUAAACGAGCGCUCCUAACACGAUCGGGGUUGUUAUGGGGACCUCCUUGAUAAUUCGUAUUAGAUUAAAGUUGGUCUGGCAAGGCCCAACUUUGGUACUACAUUUGCCUAAUAACUAAUGAACUGCAUAGGAAGUAAUUAACACGAGGAUAAUUUAAUCAACCCCUGGGCCAGUGCUCCUCAUGAGUGUUGGUCCAAAUUGGCACACUACGGGGCCACCGUGGGGCAACCCGAGGUUUGGUAUCUCCUAGUGUGACCCAUCCGUCAUGUCCGGAGAACGAGGUACGCGACUCCUAUCGGGAUCGUUGACACGUCGGGCGGCCUUGCUGGAUUAGUUUUACCUUUGACGAAAUAUCUUGUGCAUCGGGAUUCCGGUGAUGCUUUGGGUAAUCUCAGAGUUGAGGUUUUCCACUAGGGAAUCCGACGAGAUCGCGAGCUUCGUGAUUGAGGAUUUCUAUGCGGCUUGUGGUAAUUUGUGAUGGACUAGUUGGAGCACCCCUACAGGGUUAAAUCUUUUCGGAAAGCCAUGCCCGCGGUUAUGUGGCAACGUGAAAACUUUGUUUAACACUGGUUCUAGAUAACUAGAAGUUAACUUAAUUAAAAUAUGCCAACUGUGUGCGUAAUCGUGACUGUCUAUUUCGUGAGUUCCUUCUCCGAUCGAGGACACGGUGGGGUUAUGUCUGACGUAGGUAGGUGUUCAGGAUCAUUCAUUUGAUCAACCGUAGUUCACGUCCGCCAUGCGUAGAUCUUUCCCCCUCUUAUUUCUUGUACUCGUAAGUUUAGCCACCUCAUGUAUGCUUAGCCGCUGCUGCAACCUCACCACUUAACCAUGCCUCACCCAGUAAGCUUUGCUAGUCUUGAUACCUUUGGAAAUGAGAUUGCUGAGUCCCCUGUGGCUCACAGAUUACUACAACACCAGUUGCAGGUACAUGUAAAGGUUUCUUGACGCGAGCGCGUUGAUUGUUCAUUUGGAGUUGCUUCUUCUUCUUCAUCGAUCUAGGAUGGGUUCCAGGCCGGCAGCCUGGGAUAGCAAGGAUGGACGUCGUUCUUCUUUUCUCGUUUGUUUUCGACCGUAGUCGGACCCUGCUCUUCUUCAUGAUGUUUAUGUAAUGUACUGAUGUGACUCUGAUGUAGCUUGUGGCGAGUGUAAGCCAAUUCUAUAUAUAUCUCUUCUUUUCAGUACAUGUACUUGUAACGAUAUCCAUUCUUGCGACACAACGAGAUGCGCUUCUAUCCCUGACGAGGCCUUCGUGCCAAAUUGAGGAUAGGGUCGCAUCUUGGGCGUGACAUUAAGUCCGUCAGAAUCAUGUUAGCAAUAACUGCAUUUUUUGAUUAUGAAAUCUGGCAGAUGGAUGUCAAAACGGCGUUCCUUAAUGGUUUCCUUAAGGAAGAGUUGUAUAUGAUGCAACCCGAAGGUUUUGUCGAUCCUAAAAAUGCUAACAAAGUGUGCAAGCUCCAACGAUCCAUUUAUGGACUGGUGCAAGCAUCUCGGAGUUGGAAUAAAUGCUUUGAUGAGGUGAUCAAAGCAUUUGGGGUUUAUACAAGUGGUUGGAGAAUCUUGUAUUUACAAGAAAGUGAGUGGGAACUCUGUGGCAUUUCUAAUAUUAUAUGUGGAUGACAUAUUGCUGAUUGGAAACAACGUCGAGCUUUUGGAGAGCAUAAAAGGUUACUUGAAUAAAAGUUUCUCUAUGAAGGACCUAGGAGAAGCUACUUACAUUCUAGGCAUUAAGAUCUACAGGGGUAGAUCGAAACGCCUCAUAGGACUUUCACAAAGCACGUACCUUGAUAAAGUUUUGAAGAAGUUCAAAAUGGAUCAGUCCAAGAAAGGGUUCUUGCCAGUAUUACAAGGUAUAAAAUUGACUAAGACUCAGUGCCAGCAACUGAGGAAGAUAGAAAGACAAUGAGUUCCGUCCCCUACGCUUCAGCCGUAGGUUCUACCAUGUAUGCAAUGUUGUGCACUAGACCGGACGUUAGCCUGGCCAUAAGUAUGGCAGGCAGGUUCCAGAGUAAUCCAGGAGUGGAUCACUGGACGGCGGUCAAGAAUAUCCUGAAGUACCUGAAAAGGACUAAGAAGAUGUUUCUCAUAUAUGGAGGUGACGAAGAGCUCGCCGUAAAAGGUUACGUCGAUGCAAGCUUUGACACAGAUCCGGACGACUCUAAGUCGUAGACCAGAUACGUAUUUAUUCUUCAUGGGGGUGCGGUAAGCUGGUGCAGUUCCAAGCAAAGCGUCGUAGCUGAUUCUACAUGUGAAGUGGGGUACAUGGCUGCCUCGGAGGCAGCUAAGGAGGGUGUCUGGAUGAAGCAGUUCAUGACGGAUCUUGGAGUGGUGCCGAGCGCACUGAAUCCAAUAACCCUGUUUUGUGACAACACGGGUGCCAUUGCCUUAGCAAAGGAACCACGGUUUCACAAGAAGACCAGACACAUCAAAUGACGCUUCAACCUCAUCCGCGACUACGUCGAGGAGGAGGACAUGAAUAUCUGCAAAAUGCACAUGGAUCUGAAUGUGGCAGACCCGCUGACUAAACCUCUUCCACGGGCAAAGCAUGAUCAACACUAGAACUGUAUGCGUGUUAUAUUUAUUACAAUGUAAUUCGCAUGACGAUGUGAGGACUAGAUUAUUGACUCUAGUGCAAGUGGGAGACUGUUGGAAUUAUGCCCUAGAGGCAAUGAUAAAUAAGUUAUUAUUAUAAUUCAUGUAUCAAGAUAAUCGUUUAUUAUCCAUGCUAUAAUUGUGUUGAAUGAAGACUUCGAAACAUGUGUGGAUACAUAGACAAAACACUGUCCCUAGUAAGCCUCUAAGUUGCCUAGCCAGUUGAUCAAGGAUAGUCAAGGUCUUCUGACUAUGUGCAAGGUGUUGUUGCUUGAUAACUGGAUCACAUCAUUGGGUGAAUCAUGUGAUGGACUAGACCCAAACUAAUAAACGUAGCAUGUUGAUCGUGUCAUUUUGUUGCUACUAUUUUCUGUGUGUCAAGUAUUUAUUCCUAUGACCAUGACAUCAUAUAACUCACUGGCACCGGAGGAAUGCCUUGUGUGUAUUAAACGUCACAACGUAAUUGGGUGACUAUAAAGAUGCCCUACAGGUAUCUCCGAAGGUGUCCGUUGAGUUAGUAUGGAUCAAGACUGGGAUUUGUCACUCCGUGUGACCGAGAGGUAUCUCGGGGCCCACUCGGUAAUACAACAUCACACACAAGCCUUGCAAGCAAUGUGACUUAGUGUAAGUCACGGGAUCUUGUAUUACGGAACGAGUAAAGAGACUUGUUGGUAAGAUUGAAAUAGGUAUGCGGAUACUGACGAUCGAAUCUCGGGCAAGUAACAUAUCGAAGGACAAAGGGAAUGACAUACGUGAUUAUAUGAAUCCUUGGCACUGAGGUUCAACCGAUAAGAUCUUCGGAGAAUAUGUAGGAUCCAAUAUGGGCAUCCAGGUCCCGCUAUUGGAUAUUGAUCGAGGAGUCUCUCGGGUCAUGUCUACAUAGUUCUCGAACCCGCAGGGUCUGCACGCUUAAGGUUCGACGAUGUUUUAUGCGUAUUUGAGUUAUAUGGUUGGUUACCGAAUGUUGUUCGGAGUCCCGGAUGAGAUCACAGAUGUCAUGAGGGUUUCCGGAAUGGUCCGGAGUUGAAGAUUGAUAUAUAGGAUGACCUCAUUUGAUUACCGAAAAGUUUUUGGCAUUACCGGGAAUUUACCCGGAAUGACGAAUGGGUUCCGGAUGUUCNNNNNNNNNNNNNNNNNNNNNNNNNNNNNNNNNNNNNNNNNNNNNNNNNNNNNNNNNNNNNGUGGGAAGGUAGAGAAGGACUCCACCUUCCAAUCCUAGUUGGACUAGGAUUGGAGGAGGACUCCUCCUCCCCCCCUUCGGCCGAUCCCUUGGGGCUCUCUUGAGCCUCAAGGCAGAUCCCUCCCCCUCCCUCCUAUAUAUACUGAGGUAUUAGGGCUGAUUUGAGACAACUUUGCCACGACAGCCCGACCACAUACCUCCACGGUUUUCCCUCUAGAUCCUAUUUCUGCGGAGCUCGGGCGGAGUCCUGCUGAGAUAGAUCACCACCAACCUUCGGAGCGCUGUCACGCUGCCGGAGAACUCAUCUACCUCUCCAUCUCUCUUGCUGGAUCAAGAAGGCCGAGAUCAUCGUCGAGCUGUACGUGUGCUGAACGCGGAGGUGCCGUCCGUUCGGCACUAGAUCGGAGCGGAUCGUGGGACGGUUCGCGGGGCGGAUCGAGGGACAUGAGGAUGCUCCACUACAUCAACCGCGUUUCUUAACGCUUCCUGCUGUGCGAUCUACAAGGGUACGUAGAUCCAAAUCCCCUCUCGUAGAUAGACAUCACCAUGAUAGGUCUUCGUGUGCGUAGGAAAUUUUUUGUUUCCCAUGCGACGUUCCCCAACACUCCCUCCGUUUGAUAAUAAGUGUACUUUUUCCUUUUCUGUCAGUCAAACUAGUUGAACUUUGACUAAUUUUAUUGAGAAAAGUGCUAGCAUUUAUGACAUCAAAUUAGUAUCAAUAGAUUUGUCUUUACAUGAAGUUGCCAAAUAUAUCAUUUUCAUGUCAUUUCUAUAAAGUUGGUCAAAUUUUAAAAAGUUUGACUAAGUACAAAUCUAUAUGUACACUUAUUUGUGGACGGAGGGAGUACGACUCUUCAGACUUGAGGUGGCUCCGUCGAUGUGAUGUGCAUCUAUCACGCUAGUUCGCGAUGAGGUAACCAGUGGAGCACGGUGAUUGGCUCUGACUAUUAGACAGUCACUUGGUGUGCCGACGUCAUCGUCUCGCCUCCUUCAAUUAAAUUUUGCCGUCACCUUGGUGCGCUGCCCGUGUUGGCCUCCCUACACUAUCACUUCAUUAUGUCGAUGUCCUAUACGACGACUUACACCAUCAAUCAAAUUGCAUCGUUAAUAUGGUCGACUCACGUGGGGGCUUUGCCGUCACGCUGCCGAACUACUCUGUCUCCUCGGCUGGACCGGGGAUUUCGGCUCGAUCCUUUGAAAGUGGUCUGUUGUCACUUCCUCAAGUCGAUCUCUUCGUCGACCAACUCAUGACCGGCUUGGGGGCUGGGACCCUGCCCUUCCGUAUCCGUCUUCCAAGGAUACCUCAGAUCCGAUCUGUUGAUUGACGGUCAAUCAAGGUGUGCGAAUUUGACUUCGUCAUGCCCUUAGCACAUCGUCUCGACACCGUUGACAUGUGUCGACCCCUCCACGUGGCCGAUUGGACUUCAGCGAUUAGGCGACCAUAUACCAGAUAACCUCUUCUGCAUAAAUUAAUUAUGCAAAGUUUUUUAUAUAAGUAUUAUUCUCCCGCUUGUGCCACUUCAUGCAUCCAGAUAAUCUACUGUCACCUUGGCGAGCUCACAUCGUCGUCCCGUGGAGGGUGUUGCCCGGCGUCGACAUCUCUGUUCUAUCCCAACCCCGGGCCAUCGAUCGGCACUCACUCCGCAUCCUAUACGCCAACCUGCUUCGUAUCUCCAGCUAGACCGGAGGCUUCUCCAUAUCUUCAUCAACCUGCUCUGGGAACUUCGGCGUCAUCAGCCGACCAACUUCGGGAUGUUAGCUAGACCGGGGGCUUCGUCUCACCACAUCAAUCGUGUUGCGUCGCCACUUCAACAAGCCGAGCUCUUUGCUCGGGCACCUCGGGACCACCUCGGGGGCUCAGACCUUGACCCGGUAUAAGCCCGACCCGCGUCAUCAACACUGAGCACAUUAACUGUUGGGGAACGUCGCAUGGGAAACAAAAAUUUUCCUACGCGCACGAAGACCUAUCAUGGUGAUGUCCAUCUACGAGAGGGGAUGAGUGAUCUACGUACCCUUGUAGACCGUACAACAGAAGCGUUAGAGAACGCGGUUGAUGUAGUGGAACGUCCUCACGUCCCUCGAUCCGCCCCGCGAACAAUCCCGCGAUCAGUCCCACGAUCUAGUACCGAACGGACGGCACCUCCGCGUUCAGCACACGUACACCUCGACGAUGAUCUCGGCCUUCUUGAUCCAGCAAGAGAGACCGAGAGGUAGAAGAGUUCUCCGGCAGCGUGACGCAGCUACGGAGGUUGGUGAUGACCUUGUCUCAGCAGGGCUCCGCCCGAGCUCCGCAGAAACGCGAUCUAGAGGAAAAACCGUGGAGGUAUGUGGUCGGGCUGCCAUGGAAAAGUCGUCUCAAAUCAGCCCUAAAACCUCCGUAUAUAUAGGUGGGAGGGAGGGGGCCUUGCCUUGGGGUCCAAGGACCCUCAAGGGGGUCGGCCGAGCCAAGGGGGAGGACUCUCCCCCCCCAAACCGAGUUGGACUAGGUUUGGUGGGAGGGAGUCCCCCUCCCUUCCCACCUCCUCCUUUUUUUUUCCUUUUUCCUUUGAUUUCUUAUCCUUGGCACAUAGGUCCCUUUUGGGAUGUCCCACCAGCCCACUAAGGGCUGGUGCGCCACCCUUAUGGCCUAUGGGCUUCCCCGGGGUGGGUUGCCCCCCGGUGAACNNNNNNNNNNNNNNNNNNNNNNNNNNNNNNNNNNNNNNNNNNNNNNNNNNNNNNNNNNNNNNNNNNNNNNNNNNNNNNNNNNNNNNNNNNNNNNNNNNNNGUAAAGUACUCCCUCCGUCCCAAAAUAACUGUCUCAAGCUUAGCACAAUUUUGUAUUAGAACUAGUACAAAGUUGAGACACUUAUUUUGGGACGGAGGGAAUAUGAAAUUAUUCUGCUUGUAAUAGCAAAUCACUGUGAAUUCUCCCUUUCUGUGGAAGUCCUCUUCUGCACAUAUGCACCUGCUGUGAACAGUAAAUUCGAAAUAAUAAUAAUAAUAAAGAAUAUAAAAAAUGAUUUUCUUUCGAGGCAAACAUUGUCGAAUGUUUGAAAUGCAUGUGAAUUUUCAUCAUGGAAUGACAUUAAUGGUAAACAUGGCAAACAAAUAAAUUUGAUGUCCUAAAAUCCUUUCAAAAAUACCUUUUUUGGAAGGAACAUUGGUUUUGUUUUUUUGCUAAAACCUCCGCGAGUGUCAUUCUGUCAUGAAACUUUGCGAGCACUCAAAACCUUAAACAUUGUUUGCCAUUAAAAAAUUCAGUUUUUUAGUACCCAUUUUUCUGAAUUUACUGUCAUGAAACUUUGCGAGCACUCAAAACCUUCAACAUUGUUUGCCAUUAAAAAAUUCAGUUUUUUAGUACCCAUUUUUCUGAAUUUACUGUUCAUCCAGGUCCAUUUGUGGCCAGGAGCAGAUACCUCACAUCCCUUUUUAGGGUCUCUUUGAUUCUAAAAAACAUGGGAAUAGGAAAAACAUAGAAGGACCCCACUACAUAGCGGACGUCAUCAACAUCCCCUUUAAUGUUUGAAAUUCGGAAUGUUUUAUCUCUAAAACGAUUAAUUUGACCGAUGAUCUGUUUUCACAAUUGUCUUUGUCGCGAUGAGAUUUUCGAAACUAGAUCCCAUAUUGAUAUGUUUUGGCAACUUUUUUUUUGUCCAUAUUUGCCACAUUGUUGCACUUACUUGUCAUAUUUGUAAACACUAAGUUGCUUGAUAAAAUAUAACUCAAGUUUUUUUUUCCCGCACAGCCAAAUUUUGUCGUUUUUGCCACGAGCUCCUCGAUAGUCCAAACAACUUGAAUUGCAUAUGCAUCGUGCAUUUGAGCAUCUUGCACCAUAAAAAUUAUUUUUUUAUUUUCUUUGAUUUACUGUUCUCACCCGGGUGUACAUGACGUCGGGUGGAUAGUAGCCGCAUCCUUAGGCAUCUUUUUCGAAGAAAACACGAAAAGAAAACGUCGAGAACUCUGUCGGCCGGCCUGGCCCAGAGCACGGCCGACUUGCUGCAAAGGUUAAGGUCAAGUCGGAUUACAAUUUGGAAGUUUCUAUUUUUUUUAAAAGUCCAUGAACAUGUACAAAAAGUUCGCCUGUUCAAAAAAAGUUUGCGAAAAAACAGGAGUUCGCGAAUUAAAAAAACAUGAGAUUGAAAAGUUCAAAAAUAAGUAAACAAAUUUGAAAAAAUGUUCAUCGAACAUGAAAAAAGUGAAAAAAACAUUAUUUUGAAGAAAUCAUGUCUAUUGGAAAAAGUUCAAAUCUGAAAAAUGUUCAUAAAAAAUGAAAAGAGUUCAUCCAGUUUGGAACAAGAUCAUGAAUUUGAAAAAAAGUUUAUUGACUUUCAUAAAAAGUUCACAAAUUCUAAAAAAUAUCCAUAAAUUCUGAAAAAGAUUCGCCAGAAGAAAAAGUUUGUGAUUUUGAUUUUUUUUUCACGCAUUUAAAAUAUAAAAAAGUAAAAAAAGAAANNNNNNNNNNAGGAAAAGAACAAAACUAGAAAAGGAACAAGAAUAAAAGGAAAUAAAAACCCAAUUAAGAAACCGUCUUAAGUCUACAAAGAACGGGAAAACCCCGGUUUGGGAAGGUUCUGAAAGCUUCCCAAAACCGGGGGCUCUAAGCGAGCUAAAAAAGAGUAAUAGAAAUAAGAGAUGUUAGAUGGCACGAACGGUUGAUUGUCUCAGUUGUUUCCGCUAUUCUCAGUUAAGCUAGAAAUUCCAAGUUCGAAAUCAGCAUAGAGAAAAAAAAGCAAAACGGCCUGCCUAGCGCGGAGGCGCAGUGUGUGCGCCCGAUUGCAGAAAUACUAGAAGUGGGCGACUUCAGGGCUGAAUAGGAACUGAACUCAGCCAUCCUUGUCGAGGGCAGCGCAACUUCUAUUCUAAAGAAGAGAUCCAAAGAGAAUUAAGUAAGACUAUCGUCAUGGAAGACCACCAAAAGGAUCACCUGCUGCCUGUCAUCGUUGCCAAAAUGGUCCUGCCGCUGCAGCUCCGACUUCACCACAACAAACUGUACCAACAUUAUUGGCCGCAAACUGAAUGCUCUGACUUCAAGCAUCAUCAUUUCCUACAACAUCGAAGCAUCCUAAGAUCUAAUCCCAAUUUUUUAGCUGCUCAACUAUUGUCUUUUAUCAAAAACUGGAGGACCAUGCUGUCAUAGCAACGACGGUUCCCAAAGAAAAGACGUAUAGGAAAAAUUGGGAGUGGGACGGAUGGAUCUGUCUCUGACUCAGUGCAUCUACAGAUUUGGCUAUGGCUCUUCAAGAACUCAUUCCACUACACGGUGUACUAUCUUCUCCUGCUUCGCGUCAGAGGCUGCUUCUUCCUCGACAUGCUCUUCAUUUUGCUGCUGGGGCUGGGGGUAUAUCAUUUCUUCCGGCCUCUCCCAAUAUUCUCGCGGCCAAAAUAUCGAAUUCCACAUCGGCUGGCCAGAAGCUGCCAAUGCGUGCGCAUCCGGGCAUGCAAGAUCAAUUUCAGCAAUUUGAUAAAUUUCUGCACAAGUAAUAACCGAAUAGAUAAAAGAAGUACAUGUAUAAACUACCAGGAUGACUUCUACCCUCCGGCUGCCAAAAAACCAAUUGGACCUACCCUCUGUUUUGAGUCUAACAGCAAUAAUUUGAGAAAAGAAUAACUUGCUCUACCGAACCAUUUUCCGGAGCAGCCGCUAAAUUUAGUUGUAGUACGUGUUGUUCAUAAACUUCAGAAUUUUUUGAUGGAGACAAUUUGAAUGGGAUAUACUGCAUAUAUAUGAAAUUUAAACAAUACAAAGGCAACACCACAUCACAGUAUUGACCAUGCAUGUUUUGAACUAGGUAAAACCUACCACACGCUCGCCAACAUUUUACUAGUAGUAUGUCUAAAAUCCAUGAUCAAAGUAUGAAGGCAACACAACUGUUUACAUGUUAGUGUAAGCCUGCAAUUAAGGUCGGCCGAGUGCUUCUUCCAUGCAUGACGAUGACACUGAUUUGUACUUGCCUAGCCGAAAAGCAGUAUAAAGCCAUGUCAACAUAUACUACUUGGUUGAUUUAUGUUCAUUUCCAAUCCAAUUGGUAGCAUAACUGCAGAAAAACAGUGUAUGUAUAGUUGUAUACUGAUUAGAUAUAAUCGACAUCAUGUAAUUAAGGCAGGCAAUCCAGCACUACAGGUUGGCAAGUAAUUACAAGUGGAAUAUCAGACAAGGCAACUUAACAGCAGUAUAGUUAUUACCAACCCACAAGCUAAAGUCUGACGAUAACAUUUGAACAUAUAUGUAGACAACUUCAGUACUAAAAGACAGUCGAAUCGAUCAAUUUCACAUAACUAUUAGGCACAUUAUUAGCAUAAUAACAUACUGUACAAUGCAUAUUAUUAGUAUAUAGUACCCACCACCGACCGGCUAAAAUGUACUGUAGAAUGCAAAUUUUAGUUGGGAUGAAUCCAAGAAGAUGUAUAUAUACAACCAAAGCACGAACUGGUUUCUCCUUUUAGUACCCAAGUUCAUUCAGUUAUAUGUUUUCCUUGGCUACAGAACAAGGCAAGCAAUAGGCAUACUUGGUACAAAUACAAUGCAACACAUCCAUUUUCUGGAAAAUAAACAGAGUACAGCACGAGUAGCAGAGCAUGACCAGAUUCUUUCGGUGGAACAAGAAAGCAUACCUGAAGAAGAAGAGGCUGACGGAGCGAGGGCAGAAGCGGAGGUCGCCGAAGUACCCGUCGAGGACGACAGAGGCGCAAACGAGGUGAUCAGCGGUGUCUCCGCGGCCGAGGAAGCCAUGGACGACGAGCACGUGUCGGCAGCCAAGGGCGUCGUCGAGGGGCGUAGGGAUAUCGACGCCUCGGGCGCCAAGGGGGCGACGACGACGGCCCUAGAAACCGUGGUGGAUGCCGGCGCAGAAGACGCCACCGUGGUGGGUGCUGGCGAGCAGUAAGAGGGGGACGCCAAUCCCGGGGAUGUCUGCGCGUGAGUCGCGGACACGGAGUAGGAGGCUGGAGCUAGCACAGAAGCCAAGGGCACGGAGGAAAUAGUAGACGCGGAGCUGGCCAGAAUCCCCGUCGAUGUCGAGGACGACACAGGCGAAGUCGCGAACGCGGAGGCGGAGCUCGCCGAAGUCCCCGUCGAUGUUGAGGCCGACACAAGCGAAGGCGCGAACGCGGAGGCGGCCGAAGUCCCCGUCAAGGUCGAGGACGACACAGGCGAAGGCGCGAACGCGGGGGGCUCGGAGGAAGCGGUCGACGCGGCGGAGAUCGCCGAAAUCCCCGUGGAGGACGAAGACGACAGAAGCGAAGUCGCGAGCGCGGAGGAAGCGGUCGACGCGGAGCUCGCGGAAGCCCCCGUCGAGGACGACACAGGCGCGAACUCGGUGAUCAACGGCCCCCUCCCCGUCCCCGAGGAAGCCUUGGAGGAGGAGGCGCGGGCAGACGACGACGACGACGACGACGAGGUCGGGGGCUCGAACUUGAAGGGUCCCCAAGCGAUCUGCGGGUACGACGCGAUCAACUCGCCCUCCGUCGGGAAGGGGGCGACGGGCUCGGACCUGAAGACUGGCGCACAGGCGUAGAGGGAGGAGGCCAUGUAGGUGUAGGAUUCUCGGUUGAGGUAAUGAGCUGGAUGUGGGUGGCGGCGAGGAGCCUGCAGGGGACGAGGAGGAGGAGGGGGAGGUCUAGGAGCUUGGUGACGGGGACGAGGUCUUGGAGCCGGCGGCGGCGGGGGUGGCGGCGGAAACGCUCCUGGGGGCUCGGGGGCAGGCUCCCAGCCAUCGCAGGAAGAGGAGGAGGACGCCAUGGCCGGGCGGAGGAGGCAGGUCGAUCGGCGGCGAGGCGUUCUUGUGGUUGUGGAGAGAAAGGGCGAAGAAAAGCCGUUGGGUUUGUUUGUUACGCCUCGGGCAGGAGUUUGGGAUGCCGCGCGCGCCCGCGCGUAUACGAAAGGGAGGGAGGGGAAGAGCCAACCGGCAACCGUCGGCCUCUCUGCUCUUCUCGGCCUCGCCGGCAGCCGUCGUGGUGCGGGCCAACCUGCUGAUGGGCCGCGCCACCGGCUCCAGUCUUCUUUCGGCCCGCUUCCGGCGCACCUCACAAUCUCUCACACACACACCCGUCCCAGCAAAGCAAAGCACCCGUUGCGCGCUCCCGCGGCAGCAGAGCCGGCGGCGCCGCCCUCCGCGCAGGCAGGCCGGGAGACUCAGUUGGGUUGGAAGCGCAGGCCUCUUCACUCGCCUUUGUCUAUGCUGCCAGGCUCGGCUCAUCGGCGGCGGCAGCCAGCGGCGGCGCUCCGAACGCCGCCUGUUUGACGAAAUGCGUCAACCACCUGCCUUAUUCUGCCACAGGUUUUUUCCGCCCCCUCCCGGUCUUGCGUUACUUGGUCCCAUUCGAAGCAGGUCAUGCGCGUCACGGCAUCCAACGAUUGUGAAUAGAUUGUGAAGAAUCGUGCUCUCUUCUUGCUACAGUUUCGCUCAGUUUCUUCUUGUCACUCAAGAUCAGCGUUGCAUUCUGCAUCGAUCUGAAUCAUGCAGUGUCCAAGACAGCUACACUCUUACAGAGUUCGGAAUAUUCACUUCAGUUUUUCUGGACAAUGCUACCGCUCAGUAGUUGCUUACUGAUUUUGCUCCAGAUUCAUGGUCCAGCACAAAGCCCUUUUAUGGCCUACUCAAAUUUUGUGCAUGGGGUCUGAUACUGCAAGCUGCUAGAGAUCUUAGUCAUGUAGUCAUGUUUCUACUUUCACCUUCGGCAGUCAUCACCAGGCAUGAAGAAGCUUCAAAUGUGAAAUUUGUAGUGCUGACAACAGAGAGUCCUUCUGCAUGUUGGGCUUCCGAACCCUACACUAGUGAUCUAUAUUCUAGCCAAGAAGCUGCCAACAGUUGUUUAUGUUCCAUUGAUGUGGCACAUCAAAUGAAGAAUUGAUGAUCAACCUCCACCGUUGCUCUCACAAGACCCCCUGCCCGACAAACAUGAGUCUGAUGGCCGGAACAAACACGUCGGCACAAAAAGGGCAAAAAGCUCAUGUCAAUAUAAGCACUGGAGCAGCAGAACCUGCUGGCCGCAUAUUUUCUGCAUCCCUGCAACCUACAAGCAUUCCAUGUGCCUCACAGACGAGUAGGCGACUGAACCAGUGAGCCACCACAAGGUCAAGGAAAUAUUGUCAGCUGCAUGGGUUUCAUUCUGUUUAGCUGUGUUUUCUUAGCCCUUAUGGAAUUGUAAUACUAAGUGGUUCAUUUUACUUUUAUUCUAAUAACUAUAGAGUGUGAUGCAACUUAUCAAAUCAUACUGUGAACCUGUGAUCACUGAUCAGGCUGCAUCCAAUCUAAGUAAUGGAACUGGGGAAAUCUCACCUGUUUUUUUCCUAAAAUAAUGCUGAUACAACAAAUUAUGUCUGGAUCCCAAGCUUGCAGGGUGUGGCGCUAUCUCACUCAUGUUCUUUUACAUGCUGAUGCAGGUAACCUGAAGGCUGAUUCUGAUGUCGACAGAGCAAGGCAGCAGAAGCCAAUUGAGCUAGGGGAACAUGGCACUCUGGACUUGCAGAAAGGAGGGUGGGCACUUCGCUGCGGUGGUCGUGGCUGCUGCGCACAUCGCCGUCAUGAUUGUGGCAAGAAUUCAGAUUGAUCCCCUGCCCGACAAACAUAUGAGUCUGAUGGCCGGAACAAAUAUGUCACACAAAAAGGGCAAGAAGCUCAUUGCCAAUAUAAGCAUUGGAGCAGCAGAACCCACUGGCAGACGACCAAGCCACAACAAGGUGAAGGAAGUAUCUUCUUCUUCUUCUUUUAAGAAGGAAGUAUUUCAGCUGCAUGGGUUUCAGGAUUCAAACAUCUCAUUCUGUUUAGCUGUGCUUUCUUAGCUCUUCUGGGAUUGUAAUACUAAAUGGUUAAUUUUACUUUUCUUGUAAAUAAUAACAUGUAGAGUGUAUUGCAAUUUAUCAAAUCAUACUGUGGACUUGUUAUCAGGCUGCAUCCAAUCUAAGUAAUGGAACUGGAGAAAUCUCACAUUUUUUUUAAAAAUAAUGCUAAUACAACAAACUAUGUCUGGAUCCCAAGGAUUUGGCGCUAUCUCAUUCGCAUGUUCUUUUACCAUGCUGAUGCAGGUAACCUGAAGCAUAGCAAGGCAGCAGAAGAGUGGCAGCAGAAGCCAAUUGAGCUGCGGGAACAUGGCAUUCUGGACUUGCAGAAAAUAGGAUGGGCACUUCGGCUGCGGUGGUCGUGGCUGUUGCCUGUUGGGCACAUCGCCGUCAUGAUUGUGGCAAGAAUUCUGACUGCCCUGCACCAACACUGUACAUGCCAUGUUCCAAGCCUCCACCUGUGCAAUUGUCGGCAAUGGUCGCAACACCCGCUUCUGGAUUGAUGGGGUCAUAGUCCUAGGGUAGGAUCAUAGGCCUGCCCUACAUGUCCUACCCAAAGACUACCCCACACAAGGGACAGGACCUUAAGUAUGCCCCGACUGUAUUAAGGUGCCCCCAUCAUCCAGUCGGUAACUGGCCCAGAAUCAUCCAGUCGGAGACUAACAUUCGGAGAGCACCGGGCCUACCGACUGGAUACACUCGGUGCGUCGUAACCUCUGUGGAGGGAAACUGUUGUACGUUUCCGGGUGCAUUUACUAGCAUUUAGAGCAUACGUUACCUGUAACGUAUGCAUUCAAUCGUCACUACUCCAUCCUUGAAUCAGAACCGUUGUGGAGGGCAGCGCACUCUAUAUAAGCCGCCCUCCCCCACUGGUAAAAGGGUUAGCAAAUCUUUGUACUCCAUAUCACACUCGGUAACAAGCUCCGAGAGCACUGAGACGUAGGGCUGUUACCUCUACCGUAGAGGGACCCGAACUCAUACAACCUCGCCGUAGCUAGGACUCUGCUCAUCUCAUUCGUACCCUAUACAUCUACUGUCAGGCUUAUACCCACGACAUGGACUGACUGCCGGAUGGAUGGUCACUCUCCAGCAGAUGUUGCGCCAACCAUCCUCCAAGCUAUACAGUACAGCCCCAUCUCAAUUGCCAACUCCCGGACUGCCGGGCUGUACUGUACGCGAUGGCCUUCAGAGCAGCAGGUGGAUCCAGUAUAUUGUUGGUGCACUCUCGGCUCAGGCCAUGAUCGCUUUCCUGCAACUGGCAAAAUCAAUUCCACAUUUUCAGGUUUCAGAAAGAGGAGGAAGGCAGUCUUAUCUGGAGUUGAUCUGAACCAGGGAAAUACAUCACCGAAUUUGCUUACUGGGCGUUCUUCAACGGCACUUUCGAGUUCCCAUUCUAGGAAGAACGGAAUGAUCCUUCAAAAAUCAUAUCUUAAAAGAAUGAUGUGAGUAUGUCCAAGAUCAUUCCAACUUUUUGAGGCAGCUUUCCUCACCUGUAGUAUUUUAUAGUAAAAAAAAUUGGAAGUCGCUGAAACAUUAUGCAUUGACACUUGUAACAAGAUAAAAGGUAACGAUAAAUUAUACCAGCUCCAAUGAUUCUGUAAAGCUGGAUGGAUAGCUUCUGAGAAAGAUCAUCUUUUGUAGACCCUGUAACACAAAGCUCAAGGUAAUUUAGUUGUCAUCACUGCUAAAACAGAAAUCAUUCUAGAGCGGGCUGCUGCAACUCCUUGGGAGAGGCAAAUCAUUCUAAUCACCAGGACCCUCACUGCCAUGUCAAGGCCCGACUAGAGAGAGCUGUAGCGAACGUUGAGUUCUCUAAUCUGUUUGAGGAUUGUUUGGUUGACCGUGUGAUCACUACUACCUCAGAUCACCAUGCCGUCCAUAUUGCUCUUAAUAAGGGAAAGAUUCCUUAUGACAGGGGAAAGACUUCUAACGAUCCUCGUCCUCUGCAGCAAGGUUUCAAAUUCGAAGUUAUGUGGCUGAGAGCUCCUGACUACCAGGAGGUCUUAGAGAAGGCUUGGGCAGAAGGUAGAGGUAAGUUGGCUUUAUCACUGCAAUCAACCUGGUCCAAUCUGAAUCGAGUGGCAGCCUCCCUUAAACAAUGGGACGGAGAAUCUUUUGGCUCGGUCAAAUCCAAUACCCGGAAGUUGGAAAGGCAUCAAAUGUCUAAGGUCGACCCCUCUCUCUGAUGCAAGAUUAUGGAGGAACACUCGUUGGAGUGACAAUUGGGUGAACUGUUUGAGCGAGAAGAAAUCAUGGCUAGGCAACGUUCUCAGGUGGACUGGCUCUGGGAAGGUGACCGGAAUACAUCAUUUUUUCAUGCUCGGGCAUCGGCAAGUCGACGUACAAAUAGAAUUAAUUCUCCCACUCGUACUGAUGGCUCAAUUACUGUAAACCAAGAGGAGAUAAAAGGUAUGGUGCAAAGCUUUUAAGAUAAUAUUUUUACUACUGAACCGUGUGCCUCGUUGGAGGCAGUUCUUCAGUCUAUUCCGUGCAAAGUGGAUGACUCCAUGAAUGCUGACCUUUGCAAGCCUUAUACGGAUGACGGAAUAAAAUUUGCCUUGUUUCAAAUGGGACCAACAAAGGCAUCAAGACCUGAUGGUUUUCCUGCACUUUUCUACCAAACUCACCACGAUUUCUUAAAGGAAGAUAUUUGCCAUGCUGUUAAAUGCUUUUUGAAUGGAAUGCCAAUUCCUGAUGGAUUUUCUGACUCCGUGAUUGUCCCAAUUCCAAAAGUUGGAAGGCCAAAACACCAAAACAACUUCAGACCAAUAAGUCUAUGUAAUGUCCUCUACAAGAUAGCUUCAAAAGUAUUGGCUAAUAGGCGUAUUGGCUAAUAGGCUCAAGAUUAUAUUGCCGGCAAUCAUCUCUGAGCAUCAAAGUGCUUUUGUUCUGGGAAGACUAAUUACCGACAACGCCCCGAUUGCCUUUGAGCGCCUUCAUACAAUUCGAAAACAAAGAUCGAAGAGACCAUACUUUGCCCUCAAGAUUGACAUGACAAAAGCGUAUGAUCGCGUGGAGUGCUCCUAUUUACAUGGAUGCCUUAGCAGAUUGGGUUUUGCGCCGGAGUGGAUUAGCACGGUGAUGAGAUGUGUAACCUCGGUUCGUUAUGCUGUCCAGGUCAACAGAGAACUCACUAAUCCUGUGAUUCCUACAAUGGGCAUUCGACAGGGAGACCCAAUCAGCCCUUACCUGUUCCUUCUAUGCACCGAAGGCUUGUCUAGUGUGCUUUUGCACAAGGAGUCGUGUGGUGAGCUACAAGGUAUUCGUAAUGGUCGCCAAGGCCCUCCUAUCUCAUACCUCCUUUUUGCCCACGAUAGCAUCUUCUUUGCUAGAAGUGAUCAGCGCAAUGUCCUCUCCCUGAAGGAGGCUUUGCAUUUAUAUUGUAAUGGUUCAGGCCAGAAAGUUAAUCUCCAAAAAUCUUCAAUCUUCUUUGGUACUCAUUGCUCCGAUGAUACUAAGAAAAAUUACUGGGAAGUUUGGGGGUCACAAAUGAAUUAUUCCACGAUACAUAUCUUGGAAUGCCUACUCAUGUGGGCAGGUCGCCAGCCAGGACAUUCAAAUUCCUACAUGUGGCAUCGCAUCGUUAGUUUGUGAGAUAGACCCCCUUCUCGGGCAGGAAAAGAAGUUUUGCUGAAAUCCGUGGUUCAGGCUAUUCCUACAUAUAUUAUGAGUUGUUUCGGAAUACCCAUUUCUACAUGUGAAGGGAUGAGACAAGCUGUUGCUGAUUAUUGGUGGGGUAGAGAAGAUGGUAAGAGGAAACUUCACUGGCGUUCAUGGAAAUGGUUAUCCACACCAAAAAGCUUGGCGGACUGGGUUUCCGUGAUUUUUCGCUAUUCAACCAAGCUAUGCUUGGUAGACAAUGUUGGAGGCUUCUUACUGAGCCAGAUUUCAUAAAACAACAUUUGAACUUCAAACUUUGUAUAACACCUAAACAUUCUAACUAGAAUGUGAGAAAAAACUUUCAGAUUUUUUGGUCCAACAUAAAUAUACGAAAUGAGAUUUUUUGGAUUAAAAAAUGUUAGUUUUUGUAUUUAGGAUGCAUGAAAAAUUCCGAAAGUUUUAUCCCACAUUGUAGCUAGAAUGUUUUGUUGUGCUGCGAAGUUUGAAGUUCAAAUGUUGUAUUAUGUGGGAGAAACAAAAAAGAGAAAAGUGUUUGCACGAAUCACGAUGCAUAAAUGAACGGUUGGAUAAGGGGGUGUCCUGAAGCCUAUGCUCUAUAAUAUGUUUUCGGUCAUUGGAACGAAGAAAACGUCAGAACUUUCUUCCCGGAGGAGACUGCUGAACUCAUAUUACAAGUGCAGAUUAGCAGCUAUGGAGGAGAGGAUUUUGUGUAUUGGCCUCAGACUCGCUUUGGACUAUAUACUGUCCGUUUAGCAUACAAUCUCGCUCGAUCUUCCGAUUUCGGCUGCGGUCAAGUUGGGAAGUUCAGGAGAAAUAUUGGAAGGUAAUCUGGGCAAUCAAGGCCCCAAAUAAAAUGAACAUAGUGCUCUGGAGGUUCGAACAUGAUUGCCUCCUAUCCGGACUUCAAUUAACACCAUCGAAAUAUCCCCACAAGUUCUGCUUGUGUGCAUUGUGGGAGAGACGAGAGUAUUGAGCAUUUUUUGCUGUUCUGUCAGUUUGCUUCCGAGGUUUGGAAAAACGUCAAAAAACUGUUCGACAUCCACCUAUGUCGCAAGAACUUCUGCUCAACGAAACAGUGGCUAUUCGAUUUCAUUGAUAGAGCAUCACCGGAGCAGUCCACUAUAUUGGCAAUCACUGUAUGGUAUAUUUGGGAAGCAAGGAAUGUGGUAAGAAAUGGUGAAGGUAAUAUCCAUCCACAUCGUGUUGCCUCAAAGAUCAAUGCUUAUAUUGAUCACUUCUGCUUCGUUACACCCCUUCUAAACACAAGGACGGUCCAAAUUAAUCGAUACCUCUUUAUAAUAAAGGAUAGGAUGAUCAUAUUCACGUAUACGCUGUAUUUGUUUUUCAUACAUAUACGUCCUCCUCUGCUGGGCAACAACCAUGAGGUCUUGUUUUGCAUACGCUGAUCAUAUUCACGUAUGCGUUCAUGUUUUCUCUAUUUUUUAGGUAUUAUCACAGCUGCAAUAACCAUCUAGGCAACAAGACCUCAUGUGCUAGAAUUGUUUUUUACUCUAAUAAAAAUCUCCAUGAACGCAGUAUUCUCUGUUUUGUUUUCUUUUUCUNNNNNNNNNNNNNNNNNNNNNNNNNNNNNNNNNNNNNNNNNUUUUAUUUCCUUUUCCUUUCUAAAUGCGUUAGCUUUUUAAACCUCACACCAUUUGUUUUUUAAAAUGACGAUUUUUUUCAAGUUCGUCAAUUUUUCUUCAAAAUAGAUGAUUUUUUUCACAAAUUGAUGAAGUUUUUUUUCUAAAUUCGUGAACUAUUCCUCAAAUAGGCGAACUUUUUUUGAAAGUUAAUAAACCUUUUAUAAAGUUGAUGAUCUGUUAUUUUAAAAAUUGAUGAACUAUUACUUAAACCGUAAUUUUGGUAUUCUAAACCCUAAAUUAUUGGGAAGUUGUUAACAACUUUGGAAGAUGUGCAGAACUUUAUAAAAAAUUCAUACAUAAUUUAAAAUUCUAAAAUUGUGCACAAACUAAAAUUGAGUCCAUUUCAUGACUCGGAGUAACGUCAUCACAUUAUAACACCCCUUUCGCCCUUACCAACAUCCGUGCGUUUCACAUGAUGUACAUGCAUACGUUUAUCAAAUCUAUCCAACUUUUGUCAGCAAGUGAGAAUGAACAUACAAAUGACCCAUGCAAAAUUUAAACUAUUAUUAAUUCAUAAUUUUGAUAUUCUAAACUAUUUUUCAAUUUAUUGAAUAAGUUUCAAAAGAAUAAUAAAUAUCAAAAAGGAGAAAAUGAAUUUAAGAAAAGUUCAAAAUAUUUAAAAUCACGAAUUUUAAAAAUGAAAAUAAGGUGAAAAUGAAAUACGAAAGAAAAAGAAGCUGAUAGGCAAAAUUUAAACCAAAAAUUACGAAAGUGGUACUGAUAUAGGGAAACCGUUAUGAUUUUUAUAUAAGAAAAAUACCAUAUUUGGAUUUGUCACAUCUAGUAAUGUGUCCUGUCGGUCGCUGCCUCUUGCAUGGUGGCUACAGGUCUGAAGUGGGUGUAGCGGUGUCAGAUAUUAAGCGUUUGGUUGCUUGUUUUUGUUCAGUUACCUUCUGCCAUAUUAAGCGGUCGUUGAAUGUUGCUGCUCACAUACUAGCUAGGUCCUGUGAGUUUGCUUGUUCAAAAGCUGUGUACUAUUCUACUCCAGAAUGUAUCAGGCAAACUCUAUGUACUUAUGUACCACAUUAAUUUAUAAAAUGCAGCAUUCUCCUAAAAAAAGAGUGAUGAGAGCUAACCAAUCGUGCGGCCAGGAAUUGGCCACGCGCGGAGACAAAAGAACUGAUUGAAUUCUCAACAUAUCCAUGCAGAAACAGUACGUACAAUAAUCGACAUACGUAGACACACAGCAAGUUAAAAUACUCCAUACAACAUGCACGCAGGGCGCAGCAGCAACACACGACACCGACCAACGUACGUACGUAUAUAUAACGAGCCAUAUAUACGCACAAAUUCCCGGCUCUUUUUGGACACACGCUCGCGCGUACGCGUGUGCUAGCUAGCUGCAUCGCGGAUCGAUCAGCAGCAGCUGGCUAGCCGAAGAAGUGGUGCUUCUUCUUCCCCUCGCCGCGGCCGGACUCCUCGUCCUCGGCGUCCUCCGCCGACUCCUUGUACUCCUUCUUCUCGUGGUGCUCGUGGAACGCGUACCCGCCGCUGCCAAUGGCCGCCACCGCCGCCACUUCCUCCUCGAUCUUAUGCCGGUGCGCGUUCUCCGGGUCCUUCUUCACCUGGUGCUUCUCGUACUACACACAUGCACACACUGGCCGUUAAUUCGCACCAUCAAUCAACGAUAGAAACUUGCGUUCGUGCGCCUAAACAUGUUUGCGCGACGAAUUAUCGUUCGGGAGGUACGUACCAUGGCGAAGGCGCCGGAGGCGAGGGCACCUAUCUCGCCGAGGUGCUCCUUGUGCUUGUGCUCCUUCUCCUCCUUCCGGUACUUCUCAGUCUCGCCCCGGGACGACCCGUACUCCUGGUCGUCGCCGCCAGAUUUUUUGUACCCGCCGCCGAUGUACUCGUCGUCGCCACCGGACUUCUUGUAUCCGCCGCCGCUGUACUCGUCGUCGCCACCGGACUUCUUGUAUCCGCCGCUGCUGUACUCAUCCUCGCCGCUGGACUUCUUGUACCC
rnacentral:lncRNA from 1 species